rnacentral:rRNA from 1 species
CCUACGGGGGGCAGCAGUGGGGAAUAUUGCACAAUGGGGGAAACCCUGAUGCAGCAACGCCGCGUGGGUGAAGAAGUAUUUCGGUAUGUAAAGCCCUAUCAGCAGGGAAGAGAAUGACGGUACCUGACUAAGAAGCCCCGGCUAACUACGUGCCAGCAGCCGCGGUAAUACGUAGGGGGCAAGCGUUAUCCGGAUUUACUGGGUGUAAAGGGAGCGUGGACGGUUGUGCAAGUCUGAAGUGAAAGCCCGGGGCUCAACUGCGGAACGGCUUUGGAAACUGGGUAACUGGAGUGCUGGAGAGGGAGGCGGAAUUCCUGGUGUAGCGGUGGAAUGCGUAGAGAUCAGGAGGAACACCGGCGGCGAAGGCGGCUUACUGGACAGUAACUGACGUUGAGGCGCGAAAGCGUGGGGAGCAAACAGGAUUAGAUACCCGGGUAGUC